rnacentral:lncRNA from 1 species
AACUUUAUAUAUCUCCUUCAAUUAUAGCCUUCAUACUGUAACAAAAUUAGAUUAUAAAAAUACAUAUUUAAAAUAUUUUUAUAUAAGUAUUUUAUUUAUACCAAAAUUUAAAAAAAAAUCUAUUAAUGCUUAAAUAUAAAACUCAAUCCAACCAAAAAUAAAAGAUUACUCUACUCAACCCAUCCUACCCAGUCCAUUCGGCCCGAUUACAAAUAAAAACGAAAAAAAAAAAAAAAAAAUAAUUGAUUACCAUCUCCCCUUCUCCCCUCACUUAAUCAACUGAAAUUCUAGACGAAGAGCCUUUCCCUUUCCUCCUCCUCCGCUACCGCAGCCAACGAGGUAGAGUUCCGGCGGUUGCUAAAUGUUUAAAUAAGUGUUGGUAAAUUAGCAGCACAUGUACUAUUUUUAGGUUAUACCGAUAUUCUUUAACUGUCACUAUAUACUUAGCGACCCCACAUAUAGCAAUACUUUUUAAAAGUGUCGAUAAUUUAGCCAGCAGCACUUUUUUUACCCCAUACCGAUAUUUAGAAGUGUCACUAUUGUCACUCCCCGGGACCGCUACCAAUUUGGUUCGGCCCGGGCGCGUCGAACUAAUGCUGAACGGACAGGACCUCCCCUGUCCGCCCAAGGCUAACCACUGAUCAUGUAUAAGAAUUUACCUAGGAAUAAAUUCAUACAUACACGAUCACAAGGAGCACCACCAAUGCUAACAACCAAGAGCAAGAUACAAGUAUGAAACAUACAAGUAGAUAAAGAGAGAAAGUUCUAUCUAUUACAUCCAUUCAACUUAAUACAUUUAAUUCCAUCUUUUACAUUCUUCCAAAAUAUAAAUACAAGCACUCAACCUCACCCUAUACAACAUCUACUCUCAAACAUAAAUACAAG